GCGGCCGCCCAGCGCCCGUCCCCGCGCCGCACUCCCCGGCACUCCCCGGCGCUCCCCGCGCCGCGCGCCCCGCACCGGCUGGAGGCCCCGGCCCCCCGGCGUUCCCUCUCCGCGCACCUCCCGGCCCGCGCUAGGUAGCAGGCAAGAGUGUGGUUAUCGUUGGACCAGGAUUCAGGAUCUGACUGAGUAGCUGACUCUUAAUCCAGUUUGUGUUGAUCACCAGGAGGAUCUGGACCUCAGUAUUACCACAUCUAGAGCUAUAAUCACAUCCCUGUUAAGCCUUCCUGAGAUCACACCAAAUGUCCUUGAUGGGAAUUGUAAACAACCCUUACUUCUGGUUUCUAAUGAUAUUCCAGGAAAGGAGCCUAACUAGAGUCAGUGAUAUGCCAACUCCACCUUUGCCUUCCACCAUGUUUGGAAGCUCCCUGAGGCCUCACCAGGAGCAGAUGCUCGUCCCAUGCUUCCUAUAAGCCUGCAGAACUGGAAAAGAAAGCUGGAUAAAGUAUUUAUAGAAGAUAGAGGACCUGUGGUGGCUCAUGCCUGUAAUCCAAGGUGGAAGGAUUGCUUGAGGCCAGAAGUUCAAGACCAGUCCAAGCAACAUAGCAAGGCCCCAUCUCUACAAAAAAUGAAAAUAAAAUUAGCCGAGCGUGAUGGCUCAUGCCUGUAGUUCUAGCUUCUAGAGAGGCUGAGGCAGGAGGAUUGCUUGAGUCCAGGAGUUCAAGAUUACAGUGAGCUAUGGUCACACCACUGCACUCCAGCCUGGGUGAUGGAGUGAGACUGUCUCAAUAAAAAGACAAAAAGGUAAGCCCUUAGGUAAAGUAAGCUUGCUUCUUUGUUAGAGCUAUCCAUGCUGAGUCCAGGCAAAGAAAAUGCUUUCUUUGGCCUGGUGCGGUGGCUCAUGCCUGUAAUCCCAACACUUUUGGAGGCCAAGGUGGGCAGAUCACAAGGUCAAGAGUUCAAGAUGAGCCUGACCAACAUGGUGAAGCCCCAUCUCUACUAAAAAUACAAAAAUUAGCCAGGUGUGGUGGUGCGCACCUGUAAUCCCAGCUAUUCAGGAGGCUGAGGCAAGAGAAUCACUUGAACCCAG
rnacentral:lncRNA from 1 species